AGAGUUUGAUCAUGGCUCAGAUUGAACGCUGGCGGCAGGCCUAACACAUGCAAGUCGAACGGUAACAGGAAGCAGCUUGCUGCUUUGCUGACGAGUGGCGGACGGGUGAGUAAUGUCUGGGAAACUGCCUGAUGGAGGGGGAUAACUACUGGAAACGGUGGCUAAUACCGCAUAACGUCGCAAGACCAAAGAGGGGGACCUUCGGGCCUCUUGCCAUCAGAUGUGCCCAGAUGGGAUUAGCUUGUUGGUGAGGUAACGGCUCACCAAGGCGACGAUCCCUAGCUGGUCUGAGAGGAUGACCAGCCACACUGGAACUGAGACACGGUCCAGACUCCUACGGGAGGCAGCAGUGGGGAAUAUUGCACAAUGGGCGCAAGCCUGAUGCAGCCAUGCCGCGUGUAUGAAGAAGGCCUUAGGGUUGUAAAGUACUUUCAGCGGGGAGGAAGGUGUUGUGGUUAAUAACCACAGCAAUUGACGUUACCCGCAGAAGAAGCACCGGCUAACUCCGUGCCAGCAGCCGCGGUAAUACGGAGGGUGCAAGCGUUAAUCGGAAUUACUGGGCGUAAAGCGCACGCAGGCGGUCUGUCAAGUCGGAUGUGAAAUCCCCGGGCUCAACCUGGGAACUGCAUUCGAAACUGGCAGGCUUGAGUCUUGUAGAGGGGGGUAGAAUUCCAGGUGUAGCGGUGAAAUGCGUAGAGAUCUGGAGGAAUACCGGUGGCGAAGGCGGCCCCCUGGACAAAGACUGACGCUCAGGUGCGAAAGCGUGGGGAGCAAACAGGAUUAGAUACCCUGGUAGUCCACGCCGUAAACGAUGUCUACUUGGAGGUUGUGCCCUUGAGGCGUGGCUUCCGGAGCUAACGCGUUAAGUAGACCGCCUGGGGAGUACGGCCGCAAGGUUAAAACUCAAAUGAAUUGACGGGGGCCCGCACAAGCGGUGGAGCAUGUGGUUUAAUUCGAUGCAACGCGAAGAACCUUACCUGGUCUUGACAUCCACAGAACUUUCCAGAGAUGGAUUGGUGCCUUCGGGAACUGUGAGACAGGUGCUGCAUGGCUGUCGUCAGCUCGUGUUGUGAAAUGUUGGGUUAAGUCCCGCAACGAGCGCAACCCUUAUCCUUUGUUGCCAGCGAUUAGGUCGGGAACUCAAAGGAGACUGCCAGUGAUAAACUGGAGGAAGGUGGGGAUGACGUCAAGUCAUCAUGGCCCUUACGACCAGGGCUACACACGUGCUACAAUGGCGCAUACAAAGAGAAGCGACCUCGCGAGAGCAAGCGGACCUCAUAAAGUGCGUCGUAGUCCGGAUUGGAGUCUGCAACUCGACUCCAUGAAGUCGGAAUCGCUAGUAAUCGUGGAUCAGAAUGCCACGGUGAAUACGUUCCCGGGCCUUGUACACACCGCCCGUCACACCAUGGGAGUGGGUUGCAAAAGAAGUAGGUAGCUUAACCUUCGGGAGGGCGCUUACCACUUUGUGAUUCAUGACUGGGGUGAAGUCGUAACAAGGUAACCGUAGGGGAACCUGCGGUUG
rnacentral:rRNA from 1 species